rnacentral:ncRNA from 1 species
AAACACGCGUUGAAAAGAAAAGUAACCUGCGAAAAGAUCGUUAAGCGAGCGCCGAUUGGUGAAAGGGCGUCGAUCAACCACAAGUGAACAUCAUCUUUGAGCGUUGACUACGACAACAGUAGUCAAUGGGUGCUCCCAUUACAGAGCUAGAGUAUCUGGCGGCAGGCCACGUACUCGAAGAGGCAGGCUCUCGUGAGAGGUCUGUGAACAAAGGUGGUAACACGUGCAAACGUCCUUAGC